rnacentral:rRNA from 1 species
GAUGAACGCUAGCUAUAGGCUUAACACAUGCAAGUCGCGGGGCAGCAUGGGGGUUGCUUGCAACCCCUGAUGGCGACCGGCGCACGGGUGCGUAACGCGUAUCCAACCUGCCCUUCACCACGGGAUAACCCGGCGAAAGUCGGACUAAUACCGCGUGCUGUCCAUUUUCGGCAUCCGAGGUGGACGAAAUGAAUGGCGCUGUAAGGUGGGGAUGCGUCCCAUUAGCUUGACGGGGGGGUAACGGCCCACCGUGGCGACGAUCGGUAGGGGGUCUGAGAGGGAGAUCCCCCACACUGGAACUGAGACACGGACCAGACUCCUACGGGAGGCAGCAGUGAGGAAUAUUGGUCAAUGGGCGUGAGCCUGAACCAGCCAAGUAGCGUGCAGGAUGACUGCCUUAUGGAUUGUAAACUGCUUUUAUGCGGGGAUAAAGUGGGCCACGUGUGAGCUUUUGCAGGUACCGCAUGAAUAAGCACCGGCUAACUCCGUG